AAUUAUAUUAAUCAUAUUAACCUCCAGAUAAAUUAAGCUAGCUUCGAAGCACUUACCGAAUCGGCCUCGACUUCGCAGUGCGUUGAGUUUGUGUGAGUCGGGGGAGAGACCUAUUUGUAGUAAACAGAGAGAGAAUCUGAAGAUUCAGAAAGUGGCGAGUCGAAUCAAAAAAUCCAAGCCACUCUGCAAUUGAUGAAGACUCCAAUUUAUAGAGCUUCCUUGAGGUGGGAUGUAAGAACCUGUUGUUGAUGGAUGAAACAAUUAGAAUUAAUUGAUGGGCUCAAAACAUGCUUGUUACUUGCAGUGAGUUAUUGUUGAGAAUGAUGCUUAGCGAGUUUAUGAAUAAGAACUCAGCUAGUUUAUGGAUCAUGGAUUUUCUUUACAAGGAGUUGAAUGAAUGUUGGUGCAGGCUUGGUGCAUUUUUUACUGCUAUCAUGAAGUGGAAGGUCAAAUGGCUCUGAUGGAUGACAAUGGUUGCUUGUCAUUAUACCUACAGCAGCUGCCACGUAUGAGUGCCUAAGACUACUUUGGAUCCUUACUCACAACUCACAAGUAAGGUUGCACCAUGAGUAAUCCACCCUCCAUCAUUCUUUGUUGAGCUUUGAAGUUGGUGAUGAUGAUUCGGAGUUGUUGCACCUAGAGUACCAUACUGAUUCUACACCUAACUUGGAUGGCAAAGGACGCCAAAACAGUUGUAGCAACUGUCUUUACUGCUGGGUCUGUGUCCUAUUUCUGAGUUGACAGCAUCUAAUGUCUUCAUUCUUGCCCCAAAAUUUCUUGGAAAAAAGUAGCCUUUUUGCCCAUACAAUGCAGUGAACAAGUCUUGAUGGAGUACUGGUGAUAUAUGUAAUGGUGUAAUGUAUGAACACAUUUUAAUAAAAUGCUUCAUUUCCUUUAUCUUAA